rnacentral:rRNA from 1 species
UACGUAGGGUGCAAGCGUUUGUCCGGAAUUAUUGGGCGUAAAGAGCUCGUAGGCGGUUUGUCGCGUCUGCUGUGAAAACCUAAGGCUCAACCUUGGGCUUGCAGUGGGUACGGGCAGACUAGAGUGCGGUAGGGGUGACUGGAAUUCCUGGUGUAGCGGUGGAAUGCGCAGAUAUCAGGAGGAACACCGAUGGCGAAGGCAGGUCACUGGGCCGCAACUGACGCUGAGGAGCGGAAAGCAUGGGGAGCGAACAGG